AUGGGACUGGACGGUACUGUCGCCGGCGCUCUGCACCUUCCGCUGGUAUCUCCUGUAUGUGCCUACAUCACUCCAUGUCCCAUGUCCCUGCUACAGCCGGUGGACCUCCACAUGUUGGACGAGAACAAGGGCACUGAAGACCAUGGCCAGUCCCGUGAGGCCGUGACACCAUGCCUCUCCCACCUCUUUCGGUGGCUUUCUACUGCCCCUGCGCUGGGAGCUCAACAUGGAGGGACUCGCCAUGGAUCGAGCAUCGUCUGGAGUCUGGACGCAACUGCCCACUGCCCUGCAAGUUGA
rnacentral:rRNA from 1 species